UACGGAGGGUGCUAGCGUUGUUCGGAAUCACUGGGCGUAAAGCGCGUGUAGGCGGCCCACUAAGUCUGAUGUGAAAGCCCGGGGCUCACCCCCGGAAGUGCAUUGGAAACUGGUGGACUCGAGUCCCGGAGAGGAGGGUGGAAUUCCAGGUGUAGCGGUGAAAUGCGUAGAUAUCUGGAGGAACACCGGUGGCGAAGGCGGCAUCCUGGACCAUAACUGACACUGAAUAGCGAAAGCCAGGGGAGCAAACGGG
rnacentral:rRNA from 1 species